rfam:Gossypium arboreum cultivar AKA8401 contig_6982_17, whole genome shotgun sequence.
AAUCCAUGAGUCGGACACUUCUGAAUUAAGUCUUUAAAUUGUUCCCAAACUUUAUAUAGUGUUUCAUCAUCCAAUUGCUUAAAAGAAGUGGUGUCAUUUCUAAGCUU